rnacentral:rRNA from 2 species
CUUGACCUCAAAUCGAGUAGGACUACCCGCUGAACUUAA